rnacentral:rRNA from 1 species
GACGAACGCUGGCGGCGUGCUUAACACAUGCAAGUCGAACGGAAAGGCCCUGCUUUUGUGGGGUGCUCGAGUGGCGAACGGGUGAGUAACACGUGAGUAACCUGCCCUUGACUUUGGGAUAACUUCAGGAAACUGGGGCUAAUACCGGAUAGGAGCUCCUGCUGCAUGGUGGGGGUUGGAAAGUUUCGGCGGUUGGGGAUGGACUCGCGGCUUAUCAGCUUGUUGGUGGGGUAGUGGCUUACCAAGGCUUUGACGGGUAGCCGGCCUGAGAGGGUGACCGGCCACAUUGGGACUGAGCUACGGCCCAGACUCCUACGGGAGGCAGCAGUGGGGAAUAUUGCACAAUGGGCGGAAGCCUGAUGCAGCAACGCCGCGUGCGGGAUGACGGCCUUCGGGUUGUAAACCGCUUUCGCCUGUGACGAAGCGUGAGUGACGGUAAUGUGUAAAGAAGCACCGGCUAACUACGUG